AUCAGUGGGGAUCUUGUUAAAAUGCAGGGUCUAACUUGGUAGAUUCUGCAUUUCUAACAAGCUCCCAGGUGAUGCCAA
rnacentral:pre_miRNA from 1 species